UGAGAUGAACAUUGGAUACCUUUGGAGAGAAAAGAGGAGAGCCUUCAAACUUUGAUUCCAACACCACCACGUGGUUCCCCUUCGUGAGUUGAGUCUUCCUUGAUGAUUUCAUGAGUUUUUGGUGGUUGAAUCUCCAAAUCGCCUGGGAGGGACGAAGGAGAGAGGAGAGGGAGGAGAGAGAAGCCAGCGGUGAUAAUGAGAUAAGAUGAACCUGUAACUUCUCGGGGUUAAAAGUAAAUACCCGUUAAGUUAUGAGAUUUUCCGGAAAAAGUUCCGGAGAUUCCACAACUUCCGGAAUUUUUCGGAGAUAGUUUCGGAGAUUCUGCAAUUUUUCAAAAUUUCCGAAAAAAAUUCCGGAGAUUCCACUCCCCCUGACUAAGAGCCAUUAGAUUUGAGUGGAAUUUGAUUUGGGAUAGAUUUGAAGGAAUAUGAUAGUAAUAUAUAUAUAUGAGCAUAAGUAAUUCUAUCACUUGAGAUCAGCCAACACACAAUCAAUGAGAAUAAUGAUCCAAGUGAUAGAGCUAAAUUAACUUCAAAUAUUUUCAAAGUAAAACCAUACUUCAAUUUUGAAAAGGAUUUUUUGUUUGAAAGCAAUCUAUCCUAAGUCACUGAAACAUGCACAUGAUUUCAAGCUAUGUUACGAGAAUCCAAGAUAUUUAG
rnacentral:lncRNA from 1 species